CGUCGUUUUUUCUCAUUAUUCUUCUUGGGGUUGUGUACUUUGCACGUUAACUCAUUCUUUGUAUUUUGUUGCUAAGGCUCAUUUUCAACAUGGUAUUAGAUGUUGACGAAACGCCGUCGGAGUAACCGGUGGUGCCUUGCCUCAAAAUCGUCGGAAGGCAACUUUUGCCAACAAAUAUGUUAAUUUUCCGCUUAAUGACCAUAAUUUUCUCCUCUGGAAGCAACAAGUUGUGUUGAUGAUUCGUGGCCAUGACUUUGAGCAUCUUCUUGAUAGUUGUGCUCUGGUGCCACCGCAUACAGUUGCUGACGAAAAUCGCUUAUCGGGUUCACAAGAAGCAAGAUAGUUCUUUAGACUCUUGGCUCCUAUUGGCUAUCAGCCCUUCAAUUUUGUCUUAGUUAGUGGGUGAGAAGACUGCUUCCAAUAUUUGGAAUAUUGUUCUCAAGUUGUAUUCUAGGUUAAAGAAGACUAGGAUUAUGAGUUUUCUUUUUUGCCUUAAAUCCCUAAAAAAACAGAUCAAGGAGAUCUGUGAUCUUCUCUCAACAAGUGGAAGUCCUGUUUUUGAAAUCAAAUAGAUUGCCAUUCUUCUCAAUGGUGUUCCUCAGGAGUUUGAACCGUUCGUUGUUGCCAUCACGAUGAGUCGUUAGCCAUACACGUUUGAAACAGUGACGUCUGAUCUUGUGGAUGCAGAAUCACGGAUGGGUGAUCACAUGAGGAUUCCUGUUUCUAUCAAUAUGGUGAGAAAUAAUCGUGGCAAAGAUUUUAAUAGCACUCGAGGCCAGAAUGAUGGUGUUCUUGGUUAUGUUGAGGAUUGAUCUGUUGAUAAUCGGAACCAAGGUCAAGCCAAUAAUCGUUACAAAGGAAGGCUUCAACAUCAAUAUCAAUUUUGUGGAAAGUUAAGCCACCUUGUUGACAGAUGUUGGCACAGAUUCGAUCAAGAUUUUAAGGGCAUUUCCUCUCAACGCUCACAAUCCAAUAAUGAUGUGCAUGCUAAUGUUUGUAAAUACACGUUCGAGUCUCCUGAAUCUUUCUAUAAUAUGUUUGUUAGUCCUGCUGCAGGUAUUAAAGUUUCUGAUGACACUGCGACAGCUGAUACGAGUCAUGUAAACUCGGUCAUUGCUAAGGGUGUUUAGCAACGAAUGAUAAGUGGUUUCCUGACUCUGGUGCGACUCACCAUGUGACUUACGAGAAGCCAUCUACUUCAAUUUCUUAACAGUAAUCAUGUUAUUUGAAUGAUAAGGAAGGCUAUGACAGCUCAUGGAAUAAGGUCUCAUCAUAUGGCAGCCCAAUAUAGCUCAUUUUUAGCUAAAGAAGCUCAAAGCAUAAGGACAUUAGCUUAGGAGUAGCUAAAGGAGCUGAACGGGAGCUGAAAUGGAGAGUAGCUGAGGACGGAAGGCAGUUGGAGGUCAGCUAAGGUGGUAGCUGAGUAGUUGGAGUGUCACUAGUUAGCUAGGUUUAGUCUACCUAAGGCACCUUACCUAGCCACCAAGUACUUACCAUGUGCCAAGCACACCCCUAUGGCCGAAAUAUCACAACCUUGGCGUGGAAAGGCAUGAUCAUUCAAGGAGUUGCAACCAUCCAAGGAGAACCAUGUGCAACCUACAAGCAUGUGCACUCAAUGUGACUCAAAGUAUGCGCCAACCUUCAAGAGACAUCACCAUUCGACCAAGGCCUCACAACCAUUCAUUUUGGUGCCUAGGAUAAAGCAUCACAAGCCUAUUCGGCCAAGCCUUGUAACCAUUCUUUCAAACAUCAACAAGGCUGAACCAUGCAAUCUAUUCGACCAUAAAGGAGUUCUAAGGCUUAUUAAAGGCUGGCCGAACCAUCACCUUACUUAUUCAUUACCAAAGGAUGUAAUUAAACAUCAAAGAAUCAUGUACCUUCAUGGGAAGUGCCUUUGCCGAACCAACUUGUAUCCAUUCAGCCUUCCCCUUCAUUUUCUAUAUAAAGCCAAUGCCUUGGCUCUUGUAAGGCAUCCAAUCAACUUUUGCUUAAUAUAUUGUGCGGUCUUGCUGUCUGACGGGGAUGGUGCUAGUCCUGAGAGUUAUCACGCGAGUCCUCGUGCAGCUACUGCUGCUAAUGAACCAGUUGAAGCGGGUGUUUGUAGGUCUUGGUAAGAUGGUGAACCGACUGUUCAGGAUGUGGUGGUUUAGUCUAGAACUCAAAAUGUUCACUCUAUGGCAACUCGUAGCAAAUCAGGGAUUGUUUAGCCUUAGGUCUAUAAUACUAUGCAUCUUGAGAUACGUUCUUGUGUGCAGGAUGUGCUUCAACACCAUCAUUGGAAGGAUGCUGUUGAGGCUGAAUAUAAGGCUUUGAUUGGUAAUGGUACUUGGGAAUUAGUUCCUUUGCCAGUUGAUCGUAAAGCAAUCGAGUGU